rnacentral:rRNA from 1 species
UUUAUGGAGAGUUUGAUCCUGGCUCAGGACGAACGCUGGCGGCGUGCCUAAUACAUGCAAGUCGAGCGGAGUUAUUCCUUCGGGGAUAGCUUAGCGGCGGACGGGUGAGUAACACGUAGGCAACCUGCCUGUAAGACCGGGAUAACAUUCGGAAACGAAUGCUAAUACCGGAUAUGCAAUUCGGCUGCAUGGCUGAAUUGGGAAAGACGGCGCAAGCUGUCACUUACAGAUGGGCCUGCGGUGCAUUAGCUAGUUGGUGGGGUAACGGCUCACCAAGGCGACGAUGCAUAGCCGACCUGAGAGGGUGAUCGGCCACACUGGGACUGAGACACGGCCCA